CCUACGGGAGGCAGCAGUGAGGAAUAUUGGUCAAUGGCCGGGAGGCUGAACCAGCCAAGUCGCGUGAGGGAAGACGGCCCUACGGGUUGUAAACCUCUUUUGUCAGGGAGCAAGGUGCAGGUCGGGACCUGCUGUGAGAGUACCUGAAGAAAAAGCAUCGGCUAACUCCGUGCCAGCAGCCGCGGUAAUACGGAGGAUGCGAGCGUUAUCCGGAUUUAUUGGGUUUAAAGGGUGCGCAGGCGGAGGCACAAGUCAGCGGUAAAAUCGCGGGGCUCAACCCCGCUCCGCCGUUGAAACUGUGGCCCUUGAGUGCGCGAAGGGUAGGCGGAAGGCGUGGUGUAGCGGUGAAAUGCAUAGAUAUCACGCAGAACUCCGAUCGCGAAGGCAGCCUACCGGCGCGCAACUGACGCUCAUGCACGAAAGCGUGGGUAUCGAACAGGAUUAGAUACCCUAGUAGUC
rnacentral:rRNA from 1 species